CAAAGCUGCUCCCGCACUACAAGUCAUCUUCGAGGGGGUGCAAGUGAAAACUACAUUCCUCACUUCUGAAUGAGUGAUUAGGGUGGAUUAGGUGAUUGGGAUUGUUGAGUUCUAAGGUCCUCUUCCACUGGGAACUUCUGAUUUAACUGCAGAGAGGAACAAGCCCUGAAAACACGGAUUACAGCCGGGGUUGCUCAAGCAUCGCGGCAGGGGCAGCUUUUCAUUGGUUUGUAAAUUUUGGGCAAAGAGAGAACAAGCAGUUGGAGAGAAACUACACUGAAGAUUCUGUAUUUGUUAGUACUAGGAGUAUGGUGAGAGGAGUGUCAGGAUCGACGCAGGUAAGGUCAUGGAGCACUUGGGCACCUGUGAACUAUUUGCUUGUAUCUUUCAGGGCAGAACAAUACACCCGUGCGGUCACUACAAGGGGAACACAAGCGCGCCAGAAUCGGUGGAAGCGCCGUCCUAGUGUUCUCACCGCAGCCACGAUCACCUCGCUGAAGCAAACUUCAGGUAUAGCUAUUUACUUUCCUGUUCAAGAGUUUGCACCAGCGCAGAGUCCUUUACCUGACACUCGUGGCUUUGAAUAGUGCAGCCACUACUUACCUCUCGAGCUGAAUCUGCCACACAGAACUACAGUACUCUUGACCCCUACAAACCCUACACUCGUCAGCUUGCUGCACAGGUUUCUCGACGCGUGGAACGCCUGGAACCCGCUCUCUCUGGACGAUCCCUACGACACACAUCGCGUCCAGGCUCACCGCCAUGGUCUCUGCCCCAGGCCGGAUGCCUGCCCUUGAACUUCAGGUCGGACGGGCACAAAAACUACAUUCAACCAUGAGCAGGGUUAACACCAUCUCUCAUCUGACGCAUAGCCACCCUUCAUUGUUUUUCUCACUCUUCCUUAUCAAAACUUACCCUCAACACCGUUUAUGCAAAUGUUGCAGUAUGUAAUCAGAAAAUACACUGAGGUAAAAGCGGCUGAGAAAGCAUGGAAUGCCAAUCCUUUACUCACCUUUAGCUACUUUGAGAAAAACACCCCCCUUCUUUCCUCUAGUCCUCUCCCUCUGUCGUACCCCUCCAUCCCGUUCUUUCUUCCCUCUGCGCUCCCCUCCCUUUCCAAAAAUGGUGGGUGGCAGGGUACACACAAUUGGAAGAGAAGAUCAAAGGAUCAAGAUAAUCGAGAGUAUUCCUUGGGCUUCUUUUGCAGGCCCCUACAGGGUCCAGUUUUUGUUGGUUUGUUGUUGCAGUUUUGUUUUGUUUUGCAAAAGCUUCUUCGCCUUGAUUCAAAUUGAAAAAAAAAAUCCUCACAAAGCCAUCGCACUCAAAUCUAAUACAAAUUGAAUCAAAUUCCCAACAUAGUUUGUCACAAAUGUGAUAAACUCAAUCCAAAAUUAAAAGGAAGAGGAUAAUGCUAAUUUUCCUUUAAAAAAUGAAGGCGAGGGUGGGGGGAUUUGAUUUAGGAGAUAUAAAUACAGUAUUGAUUGUUUAGCUAGAGUAAUUAAAACAAUGAACGAAUGGGUCAGUCGAGGGUCAGAUAUAAUGGAAACCUAAUUUAUGAUACUGUAAUCCUUACAAAUGCAUGGAGAAUAGAUAUGCACAGAAAAGAAAUUACAUCACUCAUUCCUACACAAAGCAAUCCCAUUGGAUUAAAAUUUUAGAUGCAAACGGCAUGAUGAACAUACCUGAGAUCCAAGCACCCUGAGAGGCUGAGGCAGAGGGUGUAAAUUCCAGUCCAGUCUGGGCAAUUGAGCAACUUAGAUCCUGUCCCAAAAUGAAACAAAAUAAAAAUGUUAGGGGUGUAGAGCACUGUGAAGGUCUUGGGCUCAAUCUCCAGAACGGGAGGCGAGUUCAGGGGGUGAGAGGUUAAGUGCAGAAAGCAUAAUUUUAAGACUAUGAGGAAAAUAAAAUUUAGAACUUCUGUAAGUCAAAAUAUGCUAUAAAGCAAGUGUAAAGAUGAGACAUAAACUAAGUGCAAGGACUCACAAAGCAUAUAACCAAAAAAGGAUAACCAGAACAGGUAGUUUACUCUGAGAAAACAGUGAUUAGAUGUUCAUCUCAGUGGUCAGGGAAAUGCAAGUUAAGACCACAAAAAAGCCUGGUACAGGGACACAUACCCGCAGUCCUAACUACCAUGCUCUAUAAACUGAGGCAGGAGGAUUUUUCCAGACCAGAACAAGACAAAAACAAAAUAAUAAUUUUUAAAGUUCUCAGUUAUAUAUUAUUGUUUGCUUACUGAGUUGACAAAAAAAAAGUUAAUACUAAGCUUUAGCAAGGAAAUGGAGCAACUAAAAUUCUAAUCCAGUUGCAAUAGGAAAAUAAAUGCUGACUAUUUACCUUUUCUUAAAAAGGCAUGCCAUAUAUAAACUAGCACAUAUACCUACCUCCCUGUAUCUAAGUAUGUAUCAAUCCACCAUCCAGAGAAACCCUUCAACCAAGAAAGACCUCAGUGUAUUCUUUGUACCAGCAUAAGCAGUAAAAUGCACUGACUGUGGGACACUGAGUGGCAAAAGUGAAUGAGCCCCAUCUGUGUACACCGACAUAGAUAACUCUUAAGACAUAAUGCAAAGAUACCCACUAUGUGAUUCACCAUAAAACAAGUAGAAUUAAAUUAGAUGCGAGAAUAGAAUUCAAUUGUAUUCUUGUGGAGUCCAAUCUUCAAGGUGUCCCAGCGCCUUGCCUUCUGGUGUACAUACCUGGUAUACACCCCACUCCCAUAUUGAAGAGAUAUUCAAUAUUCCUAUUCAGCAAUCAAUCUGCAAACUAAUGUGACUUUAGUGUCUGAGGUUCCACCUUCCCAGGGAGGCCUGCAGCCACUUAGACUCCUGUAAUCUGGAAUAGCUUCUCAGUCUUUUAUUCUCUUUUAUGAUAUUGACAUUUUCUUAAGACAGCAUUCCUCUCUCUCUCUCUCUCAUAUAUAUAUGUAUAUUGUAUAUACAUAGAGGUGGUUGCAUUGUUCUGGUUUUGUGAGACAGGGUCACACUAUAUAGCUCAGGCUGGUCUUGAACUCACUAUGUAGCCCAGGCUGGCUUCAGCAUCUGAUCUUCCUGGCUCAGCCUCCUGCUAGUAUUACAGGUGUAAGCACUAUCACCAGUUUAUCAUUUUUUAAAAUUAAGCCAUCUUUGCAGGUAAAAAGUGACAUUCCAUUGUGAUUUUAAUUUGCAUUUCUCUGAUGGAUGUUGAGUAUCUUUUCAUGUGCUUACUGGUCAUUUACAUAUCUUCUUGGGAAUACUGUCUGUUAAGAUCAUUUGCCCAUCCUUUAAUCGAACUGUUCUUUGUUUCUUUUUCUUUUUCUCACUGAAUUGUCUUUUUAUACAUUCUGGAUAAACGUUGCAUAUCUACUAAUUUAUGACACUUUCUCCCAUUCUGUUGCUUGGCUUUUUUUUUUCCUUGAUAAUGUCCUCUGAAGAACAAAAAUUUUUAAUUUUGAUAACAUUUGUGUGUUUUUUGUUGUGGUCUCUUGUGCCUUUGGUGUUGGGUGUAAGAAGGCUUGGCCUUACGUAAGGUCAUAAAGAUUUACUCCUACACUUCUGUCUCAGAGUUUCAGCUCUUAUGGUCAGAUUAUGAUAUAUUUGAGUAAAUUUUGCGUAUAAUAAACGUAGAUCCUUUUGCACAUAGAAAUAUACUGGUCUCAGCACCAUUUGUUGAAAAGACUAUUCUUUCUUUUCCCAUUGACUUGUCUUUGCAUCACUAUUAAGUAUUAAUUGGCCAUAAGAAUCAAAGUUUAUUUCUGGACUGUCAAUUUUAUUUCAUUAAUCUCUGUCUGUUUAUCCUUAUACCAGACCACACUGUCUUGAUCAUUGUAGCUUAUAAUUUUUGAAAUCAGGAAAUGCAGUUCUUCCAAUUUUGUUAUUCUUUUUCAAGAAUGUUUUGGCUAUUCUGAAUCCCUGGUAAUUUCCUAUGAAUUUGAAGAUCAGAUUAAUUUCUUCAAAAAUAGCAGAUAGAAUUUUAACAGAAAUUGUGUUGAUUCUGCCAAUUAAUUCUGUAAGUAUUGCCUUCCUAAUAAUAUAUUUUUAAAAAUUAUUUUUAUUGGUACAUUUUAGAUAUACACAAUGAUAACGUUCAUUGUAGGAAAGUCAUAGCUUUACGUGAUAUAUCCUAAUUCUUCUUUUCCUUUUUAACGUUAUGAAAUACUGGGGCUGGGGACUUAGCUCAGCAACAUAAGCGCCUGCCUUGCAAGCGUCCAGUAGUGAGUUCAAGCCCCAGUAUUGAUUUAAAAAAAAAAAAUGAAAUACUGUCCUAUAAAUGCAGGCAGCAUAAGCUGUCUUCCAUUUAUGUAAGUGUUAAUUUCUUUCAAUAAUGGCUUGCAGCUUUUAUAGUAUAAGCAUUGCACUUGUCUUCUUAAAUGUCUUCCAAAUGUCUCUCUGUCUCUCUCUCUCUGUUUCUCUCUCUGUCAAGCAGUAGUGGGCAUGGAAGCCACAGCCUUGCACACAUUUGGCAAGUGCUCCUGAGCUACAACCCAACCAGCUUCUGCAUUCUUUUUUUUUUUUUUUAAGCCUUUUGCAUUCUUAACUCCACCUCAGCAUCUGCUUCCCAGAGGACCCAACUGAUACAUUUGUAAGUUAGCAUUGUUUUUAUAGGAUAUCAACCGAUCUUUUUAAUAAUGGUGUGUCCAUAUAAAUAGCUCAAAUUCAUUAAUAACAAAAUACACAACUUUCCAAACUGAUUACCUUUCCAAAAUAUAUGCAAAACUUGGUAUGGCUCUGAAUCUGUAAGGAAAGAGUAAAUAGCUUGUUCUACUUUGGUUAUAUUUUUUGUUUGUUUUGCUUGCCUUUGUUGUUUGUUUGUUUGUGUCAUGGUCGCACUAUGUAGUCCCAGGUGAUCAAACUCAUGGUCUUCCUGCCUCAGUCUCACUAGCAUUGAAAUUACAGGCCUUCACACGCAUCCAGCUUGAUUAUGUUUUUUCUGUUUUUUGUUAUUCUUUUGGUACUGAGAAUCAAACUCAGCACUCAGGCUUGCCGGGCAGGCACCAUACCACUGAGCUAUACCCCUGGACCCACUAUGUCUUUUAAAAAUUGAAUUUAUGUUUGAUAAAUAUGACUUAGGCAUAUCUGCUCUUGGUUUCUAAGAGACACUCCCUUUAUUUUUGCCCAAUAAACUACCAACAAUUCUUUUAAAAAGAAAGAGGCAAAAAAUAAAUAUGAAAACAAUAUCACAUCAUUCCUUGUGCAACAGCUCAUUUCCCUAAGUCUUUGAAAUUUAUUCGUAUGUAUGAGAUUUUGAAGAGAGCACCAGGAAUGCAGUUUCAUGAGGAGGGCAUUAAAGGCUUUUCUCCUUGGGGAAAAAUAUUAUUGCUUCAGAAUUUUUUUUUCUUAACUGAAAAAAUUGCCUUGAUUUAUGGAGGGCAGAGUUUUUGUUUUCUUCACUUCAACACAGAAAUUAAAACUAAGCCAAGCAAACUUGGGAAUGGAAAACAGUAAUGACGAAAGAAGAACUGAAUUUUAACUUAGCUAAGGAAAGCAAAAAGGGUUUGGAUUUUUGGUUUUGGUUUUGUUACUAGGACUUCAGCGGAAGUCAUUCUCAGGAACUAUUUUGUUUUAGUAUUUUUAAUUGUUCAUUGAUUUAGUUCGGUGGAUCUACUGUGAUGCUGAACCAGGGACAGGAAAGCGACGGGGAGGUUGUGUGCUGAACAGAUCUAGAGCAUUUCUCCUAAAUUUAUUCUUGGUUGUCAUCAACUUUUGUUCUCCUUUGAAAUGAGAUUGUAAAAUUAUACUUGUAUCUGCUCAUUAGUGGGUUAGAGAAAAAGCACUGCUUUUUGUAUAAUUGGCUUAAGCCUGGCCACCUGACUGUACUCUUUUAUUGUUUUCAAUAGUUUCCUUUUAAAAUAUCUCUCAUUCUCUAUAAAUUCAGUCAUCUUGUAUAAAAAUUCACUGAUUCUGCCUCCAGCCUUUUCAUAAACGCAAGGGCCCAAGCCUGAGGAUUCAGGAGCAGUUUCUGGACCCCAUAAGCACUCUGCCUUGACCCAGAUUAGGAAAGCAGCCAUCACUGAUGCCUAAAGAUGCAGAAUCAAGAAGUCCUCUGCCAAAUUAAUAAGCUGGCUGUGGACCAGGCCACCUCUGCCUCCUCUGCGCCAGUAAAGCCGAUGCUGUUUGCACCAUCUCACGCCACAGAUGACUCAGUUCCAAGUCAAAGCCUCGUCUGAGUGCUUCUGUUGGUGAUAUCCAAAUCACACCUUGGGGCCUCGCUAAGGAGACUCUGAAAAAUACCAUUUUUAAGCUUCUAUCUGCAUUCCUUCUAAACUAUGACAAUAUCCAAUAUCUGCCAUGACAUUCUUUAGCAUACCUAGAAAGUUUCCUUCUGUUUUUUAAAAAUUUUCUACAAACUACACAUAAUAUGAAAUUCAUAUUUUAGCUAUUUGUAAAUGUGCAGUUGAGUAGUGUUUAGUUUAUCCACAUUACUGUACAAGGAAUCUGGAGAACUCUUUUCAUCUUGCAAAACUGAAACCCUGAAUCCAUUAAAUGACUCCCCAUGUCCACUUCUGUCAGCCUCUGGUUAACACCAUUCUUUCUGUUUCUUUGAAUUUGACUAUUCUAGAUAACUCAAAUAGAACCACUCUGGACAGUCAUGUGUCACCUAAAGACAGGGAGGUGUUCUGGGAAAUAUGUUGUUGGGCAAUUUUGUCAUUGUUCAAACAUCACAGAGUAUACUUCAAUACAGUGACUACAGCUUCACUGGGUGUCAUAUUAUGGGGCCACUUUCCUAGUGGUCUCUCUUUGAUCAAACUGUUGUUAAAUGGCACAUUUGUCUUUCUGUGACUGCGUUAUUUUCCUGAUCACAACGUCCUUAAAAGUCAUCCAUUUUGUAACAUGUGUCAGAAUGUCCUUCCUUUUCAAGGCUGAAUAGUAUCCCAUUGUAUGUGUUUACCACAUUUUAUUUAUGCAUUCAUGUGCCAGUGAAUGUUUGGGUUGCCUCUACCUCUUACCUGUCGUGAAUAAUGCUGUGAUGAACCUGGUUGUAAAAACCUCUUAGAGGCCCUGCUUUCAUUCAUUUUGUGUAUAUACCAAGUCUUCUCUUUCUUUUGAUGUAAAAACUUUGAAAAUGAAAGAAUUCCCAGAUUCUAUUAAACUAUUUUUCAGCGUCUCUGGCAGGUCAUAGCUUUCUUGUUUUUUUUUUUGUUUUUUUUUUUUUGUCUUUUUCAUUUUUAUCAGUACCGGGGAUCGAACUCACGACUGCCUGCUUGCAAGGCAGGUGCUUAUGCCGCUGAGCUAAAUCCCCAGCCCUGGACUGUAAUUAUCAUAGAAUUUCUAGUACUACAUUUUGUGUAUGUGUGUGUAAUGUCAUUUUUCACCCUCAUUCCUUUAGCAUGUAUCAUAAGAUACUUUAGUUUAAAUCAGUACUAAGUAUUCUUAAUUUUAUAUGAUAUCACUUAAUCUUUUUUUUCAGUACUGAGUAGCCCAGGGACUUACACAUGCUCUGCCUCUGAGAUACAGCACAGCCCACAUCAUAGCACGUAAGUGAUGAGAGGAAAACAUUACCCAUGAGUUUUACCACCUUCUGAAGAAGGGAUUGUUGCAUUUUUUGGGUUAUUUUCAGAACAGUUGUAUUGUGUUAGGCCAAGCUGUGUGAACUUGUUAUUAUUCUAUUUAAAGAUGAGUUAUCGUUUAAGGAGAACAUAUAUGUGUCAGGUUGGCAGAGGGCAGGCUUGUGGUGGCUAAUUUUAGACAUCAGCCUGACUCGGGUAAGGCAUGCCCAGACAACCAGUAAACAUUAUUUCUGGGUAUGCCUGUGAGGGUGUUUCUGGGAAGGACUAGCAUUUGAACUGGUGCCCUGAGUAAGAAAAAAUCUGUUUUAACCCAGUGUGAGUGAGUACCAUCCAAUUGUUGGGGGUCCAGAUACAACAAAAAGACAGAGGCAAGAUGAGUUUGAUCUUCCUUCUCUGUGAUACCUGUUUACUCCUGCCAUUGGACAUGAUAAUCCCAUGUUCUCAGGCUUCUGACCUCAGGAUUUAAACCAGAGGCCAUCUAGUCUGCACUGAAGAUUCUCUCAUCAGCUGUCCUCCUCCAGGUCCCACCAUGUUCUAUGUUUUUUUUUUUUUUUUAAGGUAGUAAAAUACAACAGAACAAGACAGAACAAAGCCAACUGAGGCCGUGUAGUGAAAUUGGUACAGAACCUCACCGCAGGUUACCGGGGUAACAGCAAUAAGUAUGACAGUGUAUCUUGUUAUCUUCACAGUGGUUGUUCUUUCAAUCACAUAUAGGAAAAUAAAAUGAAAUACAAAACAUUACAGAACUUAUCAAAACAGAAUAUUGAAUAGAGCAGUACCAUUAAUCAGAAUAAAGCAAAACAGUAGUAAAAAUAUUUGCCUUCAAAGAGAAGGAAAUCCCCCUUAUUUGCUAUAGUGCAUAUGGUCAGCCUCCCAAGAGAUGCUCAGAUCUCUGGUUCCCAUUUGCUAACAGGGGCAGGGGAAGUGCGAUGCUUGGCUCACUAUUGCUUACCAGGGAGGCCAGCUGUUGCUUGGUUUACCAACAUCCUAAGUUCCAACAUGGUGCACAUCUCAGGAGACGCAGGUGGCUCUCCCCCUGGAAGGGCCACAGUCUGCCACACUGCCGCUGCUUACCAGGGAGGUGAGCCGCUUGCUUGGUUUCCCAGGGUUCUAAGUUCCAACAUGGCGCAGAUCUCAGGAGACGCAGGUGGCUCUCCCCCUGAAGGGGCUGCAGCCUGCCACACCACAGCCACUUACCAGAGAGGUGAGCUGGUUGCUUGGUUUCCCAGCACCCUAAGUUCCAACAUGGUGUGGCUCUCAGGAGACGCUGGACGGCUCUCCCCUGGGAGCAGCCGUAGCCAAUGUUCUAUGGUCUUUGGAUUCAAGGUUAUACUUUUGGCUGCCUUAGAUCUCCAGCCUGCAGAUCUUAUACCAUAUACCUAUUUACCAUCCAUAAUCACACAAGCUAAUUCCCGUAACGAAUCCCCUAUCUCUUUAUGUGUUUAUGGUUCUGUUUCUCUGGCGAAGCCUGGCUACUACAGUUUGAUGGGGUCCGUAUCCUCUUUCCUCGAACCUGAGCAAGAUCUUUGUGACUGCCUGGAGGUACAGACUGGAUAUAAAAACACAACACAGGUCUCUCUGAACACAUCAUCCAUACUGUAAGAAAACUCAGAUUGACCCACCGAGAGACACCUGGAGGAGCCUUGACCAUGCGCAUGUUUCCCAUCUGACCACCUAGCUGAGGUCCUAACCAAUGGCCAGCAUCAAGAGCCAACCAAGUGAAUGGUGCCACCUCCUGAUAAUUCUGUUUCUCAGCCAUCAGGGCACUCAAGACUUGAGUCUUCCCAGCUGAAGCUGCAGACAUUGUAGAACACAGAUAAAUUGUCUCUGCUGUGCUCUGUUCUGA